UCUGGCUCAGAUUGAACGCUGGCGGCAGGCCUAACACAUGCAAGUCGAACGGUAGCACAGAAGAGCUUGCUCUUUGGGUGACGAGUGGCGGACGGGUGAGUAAUGUCUGGGGAUCUGCCCGGCAGAGGGGGAUAACUACUGGAAACGGUAGCUAAUACCGCAUAACCUCGCAAGAGCAAAGAGGGGGACCUUAGGGCCUCUCGCUGUCGGAUGAACCCAGAUGGGAUUAGCUAGUAGGUGAGGUAACGGCUCACCCAGGCGACGAUCCCUAGCUGGUCUGAGAGGAUGACCAGCCACACUGGAACUGAGACACGGUCCAGACUCCUACGGGAGGCAGCAGUGGGGAAUAUUGCACAAUGGGCGCAAGCCUGAUGCAGCAACGCCGCGUGUAGGAACGAAGGCCUUCGGGUUGUAAACCUACUUUCAGCAGGGAGGAAGGGUUACAGCUGAAUAGCCUGUGACAUUGACGUUACCCGCAGAAAAAGCACCGGCUAACUACGUGCCAGCAGCCGCGGUAAUACGGAGGGCGCAAGCGUUAAUCCGGAAUUACUGGGCGUAAAGAGCACGCAGGCGGUCUGUCAAGUCAGAUGUGAAAACCCCGAGGCUCAACCUCGGGAACUGCAGUGGAAACGGGCAGACUAGAGUGCGUGUAGAGGGAGAUAGGAAUUCCAGGUGUAGCGGUGAAAUGCGCAGAGAUCAGGAGGAACACCGAUGGCGAAGGCAGACCCCUGGACAAUAGACUGACGCUGAGGAGCGAAAGGGUGGGGAGCAAACAGGCUUAGAUACCCUGGUAGUCCACCCCGUAAACGUUGGGAACUAGUUGUGGGGACCAUUCCACGGUUUCCGUGACGCAGCUAACGCAUUAAGUUCCCCGCCUGGGGAGUACGGCCGCAAGGCUAAAACUCAAAGGAAUUGACGGGGACCCGCACAAGCGGCGGAGCAUGCGGAUUAAUUCGAUGCAACGCGAAGAACCUUACCAAGGCUUGACAUAUACGAGAACGGGCCAGAAAUGGUCAACUCUUUGGACACUCGUAAACAGGUGGUGCAUGGUUGUCGUCAGCUCGUGUCGUGAGAUGUUGGGUUAAGUCCCGCAACGAGCGCAACCCUCGUUCUAUGUUGCCAGCACGUAAUGGUGGGAACUCAUGGGAUACUGCCGGGGUCAACUCGGAGGAAGGUGGGGAUGACGUCAAAUCAUCAUGCCCCUUAUGUCUUGGGCUUCACGCAUGCUACAAUGGCCGGUACAAAGGGCUGCAAUACCGUAAGGUGGAGCGAAUCCCAAAAAGCCGGUCCCAGUUCGGAUUGAGGUCUGCAACUCGACCUCAUGAAGUCGGAGUCGCUAGUAAUCGCAGAUCAGCAACGCUGCGGUGAAUACGUUCCCGGGUCUUGUACACACCGCCCGUCAAGUCAUGAAAGUCGGUAACACCUGAAGCCGGUGGCCCAACCCUUGUGGAGGGAGCCGUCGAAGUGGAUC
rnacentral:rRNA from 1 species